ACGAACGCUGGCGGCGUGCCUAAUACAUGCAAGUAGCACGCUGAAGAGAGGAGCUUGCUCUUCUUGGAUGAGUUGCGAACGGGUGAGUAACGCGUAGGUAACCUGCCUUGUAGCGGGGGAUAACUAUUGGAAACGAUAGCUAAUACCGCAUAACAAUGGAUGACACAUGUCAUUUAUUUGAAAGGGGCAAUUGCUCCACUACAAGAUGGACCUGCGUUGUAUUAGCUAGUAGGUGAGGUAAUGGCUCACCUAGGCGACGAUACAUAGCCGACCUGAGAGGGUGAUCGGCCACACUGGGACUGAGACACGGCCCAGACUCCUACGGGAGGCAGCAGUAGGGAAUCUUCGGCAAUGGGGGCAACCCUGACCGAGCAACGCCGCGUGAGUGAAGAAGGUUUUCGGAUCGUAAAGCUCUGUUGUAAGUCAAGAACGGGUGUGAGAGUGGAAAGUUCACACUGUGACGGUAGCUUACCAGAAAGGGACGGCUAACUACGUG
rnacentral:rRNA from 1 species